rfam:Xenopus laevis strain J chromosome 1L, whole genome shotgun sequence.
GGUUUCAUAGUGUAGUGGUUAUUGCAUCUGCUUUACACGAAGAAGGUCCUGGGUUCAAUCCCCAGUGAAACCA